rnacentral:rRNA from 1 species
UACGGGGGGAGCAAGCGUUGUCCGGAUUUAUUGGGCGUAAAGAGCUCGUAGGCGGUUCGGUAAGUCGGGUGUGAAAACGUUUGGGCUUAACCCAAGCCUGCAUCCGAUACUGCUGUGACUAGAGUUCGGUAAGGGGAGCGGGGGAAGUUCCUAGUGUAAGCGGUGAAAUGCGCAGAUAUCAGGAAGAACACCCGUGGCGGAAGGCGGCUCUCUGGGACGGUACUGGACGCUGAGACGGCGAAAGCGUGGGGAGCGAACAGG